UACGGAGGGGGCGAGCGUUGUUCGGAUUUACUGGGCGUAAAGGGCGCGCAGGCGGCGCGUUUUGUCAGGCGUGAAAGCCCCGGGCUUAACCUGGGAACUGCGUUUGAUACGGAUGGGCUAGAGUUCGGGAGAGGAGAGUGGAAUUCCUGGUGUAGCGGUGAAAUGCGCAGAUAUCAGGAAGAACACCCGUGGCGAAAGCGGCUCUCUGGAACGGGACUGACGCUGAGACGCGAAAGCGAGGGGAGCGAACGGG
rnacentral:rRNA from 1 species